UUUCCGUUACGAUGUUGACUUCCGCUCCUCUGUGGUGAUAUCUGGACUAGAGGGACCUGUAGUCAACACGAGAUGGAA
rfam:Branchiostoma floridae genomic scaffold BRAFLscaffold_118, whole genome shotgun sequence.